rnacentral:sRNA from 1 species
UUGUUUUUUUCAUCUGUCAUCUUAGAGCAUCUCCAACGGUGAAAAUUUGGAGUUCUCUUGUGGGUCUCUCUUGAUUAUGUUGAAAAAAAUUAAAUCAAAACUGAUAUGUAUCCACAUAAACCGGAUAAUCUUAGAAUUAUUUACCAAGCGAUGGAUUUUGCAAUAUGAGUAGCAAAAACUAUAAUAAACUGUAAGAAGACUUGCAACAAGAUAAUCU